rnacentral:rRNA from 1 species
GGUGGUUUGGCGCGUUGUUCGUGAAAACUCACAGCUUAACUGUGGGCGUGCGGGCGAUACGGGCAGACUGGAGUACUGCAGGGGAGACUGGAAUUCCUGGUGUAGCGGUGGAAUGCGCAGAUAUCAGGAGGAACACCGGUGGCGAAGGCGGGUCUCUGGGCAGUAACUGACGCUGAGGAGCGAAAGCGUGGGGAGCGAACAGGAUUAGAUACCCUGGUAGUCCACGCCGUAAACGGUGGGUACUAGGUGUGGGUUUCCUUCCUUGGGAUCCGUGCCGUAGCUAACGCAUUAAGUACCCCGCCUGGGGAGUACGGCCGCAAGGCUAAAACUCAAAGGAAUUGACGGGGGCCCGCACAAGCGGCGGAGCAUGUGGAUUAAUUCGAUGCAACGCGAAGAACCUUACCUGGGUUUGACAUGCACAGGACGCUGGUAGAGAUAUCAGUUCCCUUGUGGCCUGUGUGCAGGUGGUGCAU